rnacentral:rRNA from 1 species
AUGUAUUCCAUGGAACCUCACUACGACUACAACUACAUCUACAACGACUUGACCUAUACACACCAUGACCAGUCCACAUACUCACCGUCAGGUCACUACUACGACCAGCAGUACACCUCCUCCUCCUCCUCUUUCGCCCACCAGCAGCAGCUUCAGCUUCAUUUCGGGGGCGCCAUUGACGACUACCAUGACUAUGACAUGGACCAGUUCAAGCUCAGUGCCCUCGUGGAAGUCGCCUCCACCUCCACCUCUAUUCUGCCAACCACAAACCCCGGCCAGGCACGGGAGGAGCAGGGCGUCGCCAAUUACCAGCGCCGCCGCGAGCCCACGGAGCCGCACCAUCGUGCGGCGGAGGAGGAGCCGCUCAUCGGGGUGCGCAAGCGACCCUGGGGCAAGUACGCGGCGGAGAUCCGGGACUCCACGCGCAACGGGGCCCGCGUCUGGCUCGGAACCUUCGACACACCUCAAGCCGCCGCUCUCGCGUAUGACCAGGCGGCCUUCGCCCUCCGUGGCGCGAACGCCGUGCUCAACUUCCCCGUCAGCUGCGUGGAGAAGUCGCUCAGCGGACUGGGCCUGGGCGUCGCCACCGCGGGGGAGGCCGGAGACUCACCGGCUCUAGCGCUGAAGCGGCGGCAUUGCAUCAGGAAGCGCAAGCCCAAGAACGACAAGAUGAGCGCGGCUGUGGGGGGGAGGAAGCAGAGCCCGCAGCAGGAGGCAGCCGGUGCAUCGGCUUCCUGUGUGCUGGAGCUGGAGGACCUGGGUGCUGACUACCUCGACGAGCUGCUGGAAUUAUGCGACAGAUGA